AAAAAAGGUAAGCUACUAAGAGCGAAUGGUGGAUGCCUUGACUGGUAAAGGCGAUGAAGGACGUACUAGACUGCGAUAAGCUACGGGGAGCUGUCAAGAAGCUUUGAUCCGUAGAUUUCCGAAUGGGGCAACCCAAUGUAUAGAGAUAUACAUUACCUAUAUAGGAGCGAACGAGGGGAAUUGAAACAUCUUAGUACCCUCAGGAAAAGAAAUCAAUAGAGAUUGCGUCAGUAGCGGCGAGCGAAAGCGCAAGAGGGCAAACCCAGUGCUUGCACUGGGGGUUGUAGGACUGCAAUGUGCAAGAGGUGAGUUUAGCAGAACAUUCUGGAAAGUAUAGCCAUAGAGGGUGAUAGUCCCGUAUGCGAAAAACAAACCUUAGCUAGCAGUAUCCUGAGUAGGGCGGGACACGAGAAAUCCUGUCUGAAGCUGGGUCGACCACGAUCCAACCCUAAAUACUAAUACCAGAUCGAUAGUGCACAAGUACCGUGAGGGAAAGGUGAAAAGAACUGAGGUGAUCAGAGUGAAAUAGAACCUGAAACCAUUUGCUUACAAUCAUUCAGAGCCCUAUGUAGCAAUACAGGGUGAUGGACUGCCUUUUGCAUAAUGAGCCUGCGAGUUGUGGUGUCUGGCAAGGUUAAGCAAACGCGAAGCCGUAGCGAAAGCGAGUCUGAAUAGGGCGCUUAGUCAGAUGCUGCAGACCCGAAACGAAGUGAUCUAUCCAUGAGCAAGUUGAAGCUAGUGUAAGAACUAGUGGAGGACUGAACCCAUAGGCGUUGAAAAGCCCCGGGAUGACUUGUGGAUAGGGGUGAAAGGCCAAUCAAACUUCGUGAUAGCUGGUUCUCUCCGAAAUAUAUUUAGGUAUAGCGUUGUGUCGUAAUAUAAGGGGGUAGAGCACUGAAUGGGCUAGGGCAUACACCAAUGUACCAAACCCUAUCAAACUCCGAAUACCUUAUAUGUAAUCACAGCAGUCAGGCGGCGAGUGAUAAAAUCCGUCGUCAAGAGG
rnacentral:rRNA from 1 species